UUGCCUUCAAUUUAAUUCCCGAUCUUUACGGCGCCUUUAGAACGGAAAAUGUUGGCAUACUGAUAAUAGGGAAAGAAACAAGAGGGAACUGCCCUUUCUACCCCAACAACUGGGGUAAACUUGUGGUAAUGCCCGCUGUGCCUUCACGGGACGAUUUCUCGUCUUGGGAAAGGCCCGCUCCUGAUUAUAAUCUACGGUGGGGGGAAGAGUCACCGUCCCAUUUAUCAGUUGCUGGGGUGAUGGGCCACCCAGGCAACGAUGGACUGCCGGCCUGACAGGAUCAUCCGGGAGGCGGGAUGGGAACACUUGCCCAAUUCCUUAAAGACGGACCAAUGCGUAAUAUUGGGAAAUGGAAGGACUCCUGAGUGUAAAAUUCCUUCUGAGGGAAGAAGAACUUCGGGUCCCAAACAACAAUCCCAAGGGAACAACCGGUCAGGUGCCACGCAAAUCAAUCUGACGGUACCUUCUAAGGAAGCACCGGCUAACUCCUUGCCAGCAGCCGCGGUUAAUUAU
rnacentral:rRNA from 1 species